rnacentral:rRNA from 1 species
CCUCCAGACUCCUACGGGAGGCAGCAGUGGGGAAUAUUGCACAAUGGGGGAAACCCUGAUGCAGCAACGCCGCGUGAGUGAAGAAGUAUUUCGGUAUGUAAAGCCCUAUCGGCAGGGAAGAAGAAAUGACGGUACCUGAAUAAGAAGCACCGGCUAAAUACGUGCCAGCAGCCGCGGUAAUACGUAUGGUGCAAGCGUUAUCCGGAUUUACUGGGCGUAAAGGGAGCGCAGGCGGCGCGCCAAGUCUGAUGUGAAACCCCGGGGCUCAACCCCGGGACUGCAUUGGAAACUGUCAGGCUAGGGUGUCGGAGAGGCAAGUGGAAUUCCUAGUGUAGCGGUGAAAUGCGUAGAUAUUAGGAGGAACACCAGUUGCGAAGGCGGCUCUCUGGACUGUAACUGACACUGAGGCACGAAAGCGUGGGGAGCAAACAGGAUUAGAUACCCCAGUA